AGAUUGAACGCUGGCGGCAUGCUUUACACAUGCAAGUCGAACGGUAACAGGCCGCAAGGUGCUGACGAGUGGCGAACGGGUGAGUAAUGCAUCGGAACGUGCCCAGUCGGUGGGGGAUAACGCAGCGAAAGCUGUGCUAAUACCGCAUACGAUCUAUGGAUGAAAGGCCGGGGGAACCGAAAGGCCUCGCGCGAUUGGAGCGGCCGAUGUCAGAUUGCUAGUUGGUAGGGUAAACGGCCCACCGAAGGCGACGAUCUGUAGCGUGGUCUGAGGAGGACGACCAGCCACACUAGGAACUGACGACACGGUCCAGACCUCCGUAACGGGAGCAAGCGAAGGUGGGGUAAUUUUGGGAACAAGGUCGGGCGACGAACGCCUUGACUACC
rnacentral:rRNA from 1 species